rnacentral:tRNA from 1 species
GCUGGUGUGGCUCAGUUGGUAGAGCAGCUGAUUCGUAAUCAGCAGGUCGCCGGUUCGAGUCCGGCCACCAGCUCCA